rnacentral:pre_miRNA from 1 species
AUAAUACUCCCUCCGUCCAACAAAAGAUGUCUCAAAUUUGUCAAAAUUUGGAUGUAUCUAGACAUGACUUAGUGUAUAGAUACAUUCAAAUUUAGUCAAAGUUGAGACAUCUUUUGUUGGACGGAGGAAUAUUAC